GGGCGUUUAGCUCAGGGGUAGAGCGCUCGCUUCGCAUUUGGUUUGCUUGCGAGAGGCCGUGGGUUCAAUUCCCACAAUGUCCA
rnacentral:tRNA from 1 species